CUUAAUGGUUAAUACUGUGGGAUAAUAACUUCCUAAGCAGUUUUGUGAAGUUUUACAACAUAAAUUUUAUUUGUUAUAAUCCCUGCUGUUUUAUUGCCAGCCUUUCUGCUUAUUAGUGCUUGUUGCUCUGGCAGGACACUUGCCACUGACCUUCAGAACUCCUCCGGUCAGUCCUCCUCGCCCAAGUUAUAUAACUGGAAUGCGUAGAGUCUGCUCAUUGGAGUUUAGGCCCCACCUGAUGAAUUCUCCGGACUCUGGAUUGGCUGAUCCACUUCUAGGUUCUGGUGGAGCUGCUGGGACUUCAGAUAGAAGCUUUCUUCCACAGUCAACUAUCUAUAGUUGGGGUUGUGGACACUUUUCCAAACCACUAUUAUCUCCUGCAGAUGAUAGUGAAGAAGUAUCAGGCAGAAGGGAGGAGAAGGAAAAACUUGCACUGGAGCACAUAGCAAAAUGCCAGCACUCUGGUUUGUAUUUCUCUUUUUAUUUUUAUUAAGUGUGUUCCUUACAGAUGUCUGGCUGACAUUUUGUUUGUUCGUUGCAGAUGUUAGCAGGCUUACAAAUCCAAUUGCUAAGUGGGACAUCAAGGGUACACAAACAGCAUUGCUGCAACCUUUCUCUCCUAUAGUAAUAGCUGCUGAUGAGAAUGAACGUAUCAGGUAUAUGAAGCUAAUCCAUACUUUAUUAUAACUUAAAGUGGAACUGUUAUGAAGCUGGGGAGGGCUUUAAACAGAACAUUGCUUUUUUGUUUGGGAAUGUUACAACAGUUGUUUACAGGACUCUAAAGAUCAUCUGUGGUGAAUUUUUAGAAGUUAUACAUUUCCAAUCAUGUUUACGUUCAGGGUUGGUUGCUCUUGGCAAGACUGAGUGACAUUUAUUAAUUAUGGGGACUUUCACAAUUACAUGACAAUUCCCUAGCAUAAUUUUAUACACAAUAGUAAUUCUGACUUUUGACCUGGUCAGAGUAUAAUGUUCUUUGGAGUUCUCUGCAGGAUAUGGAACCAUGAGGAGGCAACACUGCUCAACAGUUUUGAUAAUCAUGAUUUUCCUGACAAAGGGAUUUCUAAGCUCUGUCUUGUAAAUGAGCUUGAUGAGAGCUUGCUCCUUGCUGCUUCAUGUACUUUUCUCUGCUGUUUAAUAUUAUACAUUUUAUUCUCAAAUUGUUGUCAGAGCUUUAAUAUUAUUGGGAAUCUUGUGGUGCAGCUGAUGGAAACAUACGGAUUUGGAAAGAUUAUACUCUGAAGGGUAAACAAAAACUUGUCACUGCAUUCUCUUCUAUUCAUGGUCAUAAACCUGGUGUGAGGAGUCUGAAUGCAGUUGUUGAUUGGCAACAGCAAUGUGGUUAUCUGGUAGGAUUAUUCUUUAAUCAUUCUUGGGAAUGUGGGAAAUAUUCCUCUACCCCUAUAUCCUAAAAUCGAAGGACUAAUUAUUUCCUCAUAUUGUGAAGCGAAUGAUUUUCUUAUGGUGUUCCAUGUUACAUUUUUACAUUUAACAGUAUGCAUCGGGUGAGAUAUCGUCUAUUUUGUUAUGGGAUGUUGAUAAAGAGCAGCUUGUUAAUACUAUACCUUCAUCAUCAGAUUGCAGUGUCUCAGCAUUGGUAAGCUUCAGCUAUGCAAGAUGUCUUUUGUUGGUUAAUUUGCUUGACAUAGUUAUUUUGGAAAGACAGCUAAGUAGAUGUUAUACUUUAAGAGGCAUUUACUAAGUAGUUUUCCAUGAUAAUUAUUGAAUUGGUGAGUUUUUGCUUGCCAGCUACAUUUAGAACAGGUUUCUUCACUGAUAAAGUCAUGCUUUGUAAAGUUUUUUUUUAAUGAUGAUUGAUGGCUUAUUACUGUUGAAAUGCCCCGUUCCCCUUUUUCUGGUACUUGGUUGUUUUUGAACGUUAAGACUGAAGGACCUUUGCUGAUCUUAUUAUAUUUGCCUUUGCCAUAGAUAGUUGUCAAUCUCAAAUAGUAAUGCAGUGGCCACCCCCAAUUCGGUUAAGGGCUUUACUAUUCUCAAGUUUUGUCAGACAUCAAAUAAUAUAUAAUAAACUUAACCAAUAUUUACUCCAAAUUAAUGAUAUUCCCGAAUCAUCAAUUGUGACCACCUCCUUCUAGUAUUAUUUUACUCAAUCUUUAACCAGGUAACAAAGGAGUUAUACGAGCAAUUAUCUUUUGAUUUUUAUGCAUUUUGUCAUGUGUUUCAGGCUGCAUCUCAAGUUCAUGGGGGACAUUUUGCAGCUGGUUUUGUUGAUGGUUCUGUCAGACUUUAUGAUGUCAGAGCACCUGAAAUGUGAGCACCUCAGAUGAAUUUCUUCCAUCAUGAUGCAAAUAGUAACAUGGUUCUUGGCUCACUUUUAUUGAUGUGAUUGAAUCAAGCAUCUUUGUUGUUUAUCACCUAUAUGUUUUGAUAUGGUUAUGCAUGCAUCUAAAUAAUGAAUUUAUACUUUAAUUUCCUCAAUCCAUACUUGUAUGUUAAGUUUUUUCGUAAGUACAAACCUUUAAGGUCCAAUUUAGCAGUCUCAAUUUCUUUAAUCACUAAUGGCAAAAAAUGCUUCUCAGGCUCGUCUGUGAAUUGAGGCCUCAUACGCAAAGAGUAGAAAAAGUUGUGGGGAUUGGCUUUCAACCUGGAUUAGACCAAGGAAAGGUAAAAGGAGCAUCUUGCUAGUUUGAUAUGUUUUUCUUUCUUUUUUGACUUUUUGUAAUUAUUAGAUUUAUGAAUUUGAUUUGAAGUGGAUGAUGCAAUUAUGUCAUAUUGUUGGUUUUCUUCAGAUUGUCAGUGCUUCUCAGGCUGGGGACAUCCAAUUUCUUGAUAUAAGAAAUGUUAGGAGCACCUAUCUUACCAUCGAAGCUCAUAGGGGAUCACUCACAGCUUUAGCUGUACAUAGACAUGCUCCAAUUAUUGCUAGUGGUUCAGCGAAACAACUCAUUAAAGUUUUUAGUCUGGAGGGUGAUCAACUAGGCACCAUUCGUUACUAUCCUACACUAAUGGCUCAGAAAAUUGGUUCUGUAAGUUGCCUCAAUUUCCAUCCAUACCAGGUGUUACUUGCUGCUGGUGCUGCAGAUGCAUGCGUUUGUAUCUAUGCUGACGACAACACUCAAGCAAGAUGAAUCUGCAUUUUUUCCAAUGAUUUCAUCGGUUGUCUCCAGCUCAGAAGAGUGCAUCAAACAUCACUCAGGAACGCCACGCAUAUUUCUUGCAGUUGGGUAAUCCUGUUAUGAUGCUUUAAUCCCUCUCCGCUGUGAAUACAUCUGAAAAUAUUGGUAGGGGUAUAUUCUGCCGAUAGUGUAUGCAAGAUAUUCAUUAGCCUCCAUGGUUAGAGGGUUGCACUCGACUGGAAGAAAAUCAUGCUUAUUGAUUGGAGGCUUCGGCAAAUAAUGUCAAUCGUCGUAAAUGUGUGUAAAUAUCAUUUUCUCCAUAAUUAUUUUCUAUUCCUGUUUUGCGUGCUAUUCCCACCUUUUGUAAAUUUUUUUGUCAGAUUACAUAAGCUAGUUUGCUGACAAAUGUGGUCCUGGAAAUGGGGCAUCUCACUCAUGAUUGUAGUUUCCGUUGAAUUUGGGGACCCUUGUUUUUAACCAACGUGUAAUUAAAUUCAAGUUUGUCCAACUGUGCAAUUUCUUUUCUCAACCUUAAAGCGGUUUCUUUUGAUCUUUUAUGCCAUGUCGACAAUAACGCUUUAGCUGGAAUUUUUCACUAGGCUGAUUCUAGUGGUUUUCUUGUAUAUCUUUUCUUAGUACAAUACAAGGGGUUUUUCUUAAUGAAUGGGAAAGAGAUUUUAGAACCUCCUGAUCUUUUCUUUUUAAGGAGGCCACGAAUUAGAGGCUUUGAAAUUCACCACAUCUAAAGUUUGUAUUAAAAUACAAAAUGGCCCUCAAAACAACUAUGACAUGUCAUAUUUGACGGGCAACACGUUUUUGUAUUUUAAGUGCCUUUAUAGUGGCAAACGAUCAAUCAAUGAACAUAAGAACAAGAAAUACUACCAGAAACUAAAAUAUCACAUCAGUCUGUCGUCUGGGGUAAAACUCAAGCUAUUGACUUUAUUAUAAUGGGAAGCUACGUGUAUCAAUCUAGAGCUCCAUAAGCUGCAAGCAAUAAAGCAGGUCCCACUUUUACAGUGUAUCAAAACAUUGUCCCAGACAAGCUGGACGAUGAACCACUACUGGUCAUCUUAACCUUUCCAUGUGUUUCCGAAAACAUUCAAAUCUUCAAAUAACAGGUAAGAUGGAACAAAAUGCUUUUGUCCUGUUGCAUUCGCAGGAGAUCCACCGAUACCUACUCUGGCAGGGAAUGAACUAUCGUGUAGCUCGGGCCUUACCCCUGGAGCAGAAGGAUACGAUACUCUUGUAUUGGCUUGUGUUGAAAUCACAUUCGUAGCAGGCGAGUGAUUUUGAUAGUUCGCAUAUCCAGGUGUAGCUGACCAUGGCGGGGGAGGAUAUCUUGGAAGGGUAUUGAAGAUGUUGAUUCUGAAAUUGUUGCUGUGGUUGAGGUUGAUGGCCGUAUACGGUUUGGGCUUGAUACUGUAGCAGGGGUUGAGGAAGGGAGUGUGAACAGGGUUGGGGUUGGGGCUUAGAUUGCAGUGUUUGGUGCUGUGGCUGAUACUGUAGUGGUUGCGGUUCUUUAUGGGGUUGCAAAUGUUGUUGAUGAGGGCUAUAUUGAUGAUGUUGACGUUGUUGCAACUGCUCCUGUUGGGCUGGUUGGUGAUGCUCUUUGUUCGGAUUCAUAAUGUGUAUGUCGAGAUGAGGGUGGGGAUGAGGAUUGAUGAGUCUGUUGUUGAGGCUGUGGUUGAAAUUCUGACUUAGAUUGAUGUUGAGACCAUGGGACAACGUAACUGUUGUACGACAAAUUUUCCGGACAUGUAUGGGAAGCAAAAGAGAACCCUUCUGUUGUCGACUGAACAGAUAUCAGAUGCAUGCCUUGGCUAGAGGCUGAUGGUGCGUAUGUUGUCUGUGGUGAUGGCGUCAUGGACAAAGUGAUACCAAGUAAGUCAAUAAUGUCCUGAUCCUUUGCAGUACUAACUGGGGCAGCAGGGUUGGAAAUAACUAAUGCAUUGGAUGGGACUGAGGUUGAGGGGUUUGGAACAUGUGGGGUUUUGGUGCUAAUAUUAACUGAAUUUUCGCUGGAACCGGUUGCGGCACCAUUUGAAAUCACAGGCUGUGCCUGCCUGCAAAAAUAAAAAAUAUUGACAUGGUAGAACAAUCUCAUUACUCAUGACCUGCAAUACAUGCUAAUAUACGGGCUUUACAAUUCUAUAACAAAAUUAGGGCUUCUAAGAAAUAGUUGUAGGACAUAAUGAAAUAACAUGAGUGGAAGUAUAAAACAAAAUACAUGCCUAAUGAAACGAUUUUGACUUCUAAAAAGCAAAGGGAAGAUAAUUCACUUGCACAUGCGUGUCCAUUCAUGUCCAUACAUAAAAGACCUAAACAGAUAUUCUAAACUAGUUUAUUUUUAGAUAAGUUAUAAGCAAGCAAGACUGAAAAGAAAAACAUGUUUAUCAGUUCUAAGUGACCUCCGAGCUAGCUGUGCAAAUUCAUCCUCUUCCUCUUCUUCAAUCUGGCUCCUGGUUUCAGAAAGCACUAUGGCUGAAUUGCUAGCUUUAGGUGUUGAAGAAGACUCUCCAGGGCUGGAGCUGUUUAUAUUGGAUUGAUCUACAGUAGAUUGAGCUUCAGUUGAUACAGUGCUGGGACUUGCUCCUUGAAUAGGAAACAGUACCAGAAGCAAUUGCAUCAUGCCUAGCUAGCAAACCUUGAAUACUAUCAUUUAAUUCCAGGCCUCGUCCAAGAAGCUCCUCAUCCCUAUGACAAAACCAAGAUGAGAACAAAACCCACAUAUCUGCAGACAGACUUCACGAAGUAACAAACAAGUAUAUUUGGGUGUGUGCCAGAUGGAAAAUCCGAGUUGAACUAACCCAGUUGUAGUUAGCAUUUGCAUCAACUUUUUCUGGUUUGUGCGACAGCGAUCAACAAGAUCAAUAAUUACUUCAUCUUUUACAGCCUAUAAAGCAUAAAAGCCAGACAUUAAAUCAUUUCACUUAAACAAAGGGAGGAUUCAGAAGACCAAGAAAAACAGUUUAACUUACUGCACGAUCACUAGGAUUCACAGCCUGCAACAUGUCACUCAAAAGAUCCAAAACAUCACGCAUGGACUCCAAGCUUGUCACAUACUGAGUAUUUCAAGAGAAGUUAGCUUAAAAACAAAUCUGAUAACACACAGAAGUUGUCGCACAAAGGAUAGCAGAGGAAGCAAGAGUGAAAAGGAAAAAAUACAAGGCAGACAUUAACCUUAAACUUUCUAUCUCUGUUGCCAUAGUUUCAUCCAGUGUUUUUGAUGAAUUGCUUGGCAUCCCAUAUCCAGCUAGCAUAUUUCUUAAAUUUGGAUGGGUGGAAGGAGUAAAUAUUGGAGCUGCAUCUGGUGUUUACCACCUGGUCCCCCGAAUGGCUCUUGCUAUGAGUCCAGCAAUAUUAAGAUUUUAUCCCUCACUUGCAUAUCUGCCUAAAUAAUCUUUGCAUGUAUUUCAUGUUAGACGAGACAAAUCAAAGAACCCAUCCAUACUUUUAUUAAUAAAUAUUAAGAUUGUUUUGAUAAGUAAAAGCUGGGUGACUUUUACCUAUAAAAAUCUUUGUAUUUUUGUAUCAACGUGUAAAUGGGCUUUAUAACUGUUCAACUCCACAUUACAGCUUUUCUAUUGAAAGAGAAAUACCGUCCUAGACAUUUAACAUAGAUAGUUUUGAGCCAGUGGGAUCUAAUCUAGAAUCAUAUGCUUACUGAUCACUAAUGAUAAGAAUUAUUAAUUAUUUCAGAAAAUGUAUCACCUAAUUAAUUUUACAAACAGUACACCUGUAACGAUUGCAAACUUCCCUAGAUUUUAGAGGAAUUCUCCCUUUAAACAUGACAGAGGUUUAGUCAUAAUGAUCUGGCCUUGUUUAUAACAACAGAUUUUCAUGAAGAAAGCAAUAACAAUUUCUUUCAAGCACCAAAUACAAAAACUAAACCAAGAACAUAUCUUAAGUUUCCCACUAAAACCUUACCUUCUUCCUUAUGAUUUUGAUCAUCUCCUCCAGUAUGUUCCUCUCAGCAAUUUGAAAGUGCACAAAAUCACCGCAGUUCUUUACCAUUGUCUCCAGCAGCUGGGGGUAGACAGCCAGAAACAACAAAUGAAGCUCCAAACAAAUGAAUUUGAAAGUUAAGCAAUUCAGAAGGACACAGCCACAAACAGCUAGUAAUUGAACUUUAGAGCUCCUAUGUUGUAAUCUCCUCUUCACAGCUUUUACAACAUCUUUUGGCUGCCUGAGAAAUUAAGCACGUGGUAUUCAUCGAAGAUUCAGUAAAAAACUUAAAAAAACAGCCUCAAUUUCCAAGAGGCUACUCUAUUAAAGGAGUGAAUUAUAGUCUGUAUUAUCAUCCAUGGACCCUGGUUUUUCUGAGAGGAAACUGAGACUAAAAAUAAUUGUUCAAUUUUGACAACAACAAUUAUGCAUGAGAAAUUUAAAAAUCAUAGAAUUAAAAAAAGGGAAAAAAAUUAAUAUAAUCAGAAAAAAUAACAAGCAGCUUCCAUUAAGUAAUACAAUCCUCUUGUCAGUUUCGUCACACACAAAAAAAAAUACUAACUACAAUCACCAACAACAGCUUUAGCCCCAAACUCCAUCAGAUGACAGAACCAACAAACAUUAAAUGGAACAUCAUAUUCAAAAGCAUAAACAUGUGGUAGUUGGUCAAAGUCAACUCCUCCAAAAUAAAAUAAAAUAUAACAAAACAUGUUGUCGAAAUUGAUAUGCUAUCAUCUAUCUCCCUCCUUUUCUUGUGCAAAUGUUUAGAUUUUAAUAAAAGAAUAAGAUCUUAGAAAUCUUCACGGUGAUCUCUAAAUUGUCUCUACUUUCUUGGAGGUAGACGCCGAUCUCAUGUAAAGUGACAGCUUUUAUUGAGAUUCCUCCUUUUAUUCUCUCUCAAUCUCUCCCAAUUUCCAUUUUUACACCAAGUUUUCUUUAGAUUUCUCUUUACUUUUCCAAUCUUUAGCCAUCCACAUCUAUUUAAUAUAUAUAGUAGUGAUAUAUGAACAAUCCACAUGUGGCUGCGCGCAUGUAUAUAACCUCUUUAAGUGACAAAUUUGAUAACAUGAAAAAGAUGAAUUUUGUCCUUUUAUUAAAAAAAUAAAAAUCAGUAUAUGCGUUUCUCCGAAAGCUUUCUUCCCUCAUUUAUUUAGCUGUGCUGGAUUUUGGAAGAUUCUUACGCUUUGAAUUCGGUGGGAGAUUGAGCCUUCAAUAUGGGUUGGCAUUUGGUGUGCGUGCGAUUUGGAGGCUUCUUUGGAAGUUAGUUUUCGUUUAGGAUUUAGGAUUUUAUUGCAUUAUAGUAGCUAUGUAGGAUUCCUAUUUGAGUUUUAAUUUUAUGGAUUAUUUAGGUUUCCGUUUUGGGUUUUGAUUUUAGGGUUUCGUUUUGGAUUUUGAUUUUAGCGUUUCGUUUUGGGUUAUCCUAUUCGGUGCAUGUAAAGUAUGGUAAAAAUAGUUAUGUGAAUAGCAAUAGGGAUGGUGUAAAAAGGAGAGGCAUGCGAUUUUCAUGUUUAAGUUUGAGAAUGACGAGGUAGGAUGUGGGAGUGGGAAUGGGAAGGAGGUGGACGUUGUGUGGUCCAAUGGGGAGUUUAAGAAUGGAAAGAGUUGGUCGUCUUCUUCGUUGUCGGUUUCUUCUUCUGUUGGGUCUUUUGGAGGGAGUUCCUCUGUCAUUGAAUGGUCCAGCGUGGAGGAGAAUGAAUUGGUGGUUCCUUUUGGUUUUUCGUUGGUGGUUUAUGCUUGGAGAAAGUAAACACUUUGAGUGAUUUUUUUUUCUUCCCUCUUGGUUAAAAAAGGUUGAAGAAAAAAGAAGAACAAAAUUGGAUAUUAUGAGAGUGUAUAGAGGUUGUAUGACCAUCAUGGGGUCUUUCUUUUUUUGUUUUUACCAAAAUGGGGUCGUUGUCAAAAAAAUUAUAAAUAUGGGGCAAGUCGUGCUAACUUGGCAUGACUUCAUAUGUAGAAGUCGUGCCAACUUGGCACGACUUUGCCACGUCAGCCUGAAGUUGUGUCAACUUGGCAUGACUUUUGCCACGUCAACCUGAAGUCGUGCCAAGUUGGCACGACUUUGUCCACAUCAUAUUUUUUUAAUUUUUUUUGUUUUUAAAUAAAUAUAUAUUAUAAUUAUUUAAUUAUAAUUAAAAUUAUAAGUUAUGUAAUAUUUGAAAUUAAUUUGGUAAAUAAAUUUUUUAUGAAGGUAUAAAUACUUAGAGAAAAUGAGAAAAUUAAUAAUCAAACUUGAAAUUGAAUUUUAUUAUCAAGCUUGUUUGUGUGGACAAUUACUUUUAUUGUGACCUUCAGUUCUGCAAUAUGAACAUUUUUUUUGUUUUUCAUAUUUUUUAUUAAUCUAAUAACCAAAUUAAUAUAUUACAUUAUCGUCAAACAUGAUCCAUACACAAUUAUUUAUUCUUUUAUUGCUUAAAACUAACACCCUUAGAAAAUUAUGUAUCAAAUUAAUUUUAAACAUUACAUAACUUACUAGUCAAUAUCUAAAUAAGAAAAUUUUAAAAAAUAAAUAUUUAUAUAUAUAUGAUGUGGACAAAGUCGUGCCAAGUUGACACAACUUCUGCAUAUAAAGUCGUGUCAAGUUGACACGACUUGCCCAUAUUUGUAAUUUUUUUGAAAACGACCCUAUUUUGGUAAAAACGAAAAAAAAAAGUCCCAUGAUGGUCAUAAAACCGUGUAUAGAAGACCUUGACAUUUGUAACCAAAGAUUGAAGUUGUUAGAUGAAGGCUUGACACAUUCAAAUUAUGAAUGUGUUUGAAUUUUGAGUACUAAUGACUAAGUGGUUAGAAGUUUGAAUUUAGGAUGUGGGGUUGUGUUUGCAUAGUAACACAUUUGAUUGAUGCAUAUAUAAAAAGGGAAUGAGAAUCCAUUGGUGGAUUUGUAUAUUUGAUAUAUAUCUAACAUAUUUGUUCGGAGGAAGGACUUGUUAUCUUUGCAAUGUAAUUUUUUUUAAUGAUGUUCCGUUCAAAUUGUUGUGGAUGGAAUUGUUGAAGGAAAUUUGCCAAAAUAAUAAAAAUAUCAUUAUUAGAAAUAUUGUUAUUAUGAGAGUGGGUUUGUGUUUGUGCUUGAACUUUGUACUUGUGAAAUGUUUGACAAAAUGACGGCAUGUGAAGUAUCUGCAUUGACAUAUUACUAAUAAAACUCUGAGGGUAAUAAUGGUGAGAGGUUUUAUAUAUAAGGUUGCAGACAUGAAGUUCUUCUACGUGGAAGAGUUGCCAUGUUUUAUUUUGGAUCAGGGCUUUUCUUGUUGUUUCUAAAAUAAAGCAUUUUUGUUGUUGUUAUAGGAAUCUCUUUGAAAAUGUUAUCGUCAUGAUUGUUGAAAUCACUUUAUGAACUAAGCCAAAUAUACUAUUAUGCUGACUUGGGUAUUAAAAGGUUGUAUUUUGUAAGAUUACUAUACUAUAAAAAAAAAGAUGAAUAUGAUUAGAUUAAGAUUUGUUUCUUCAUUUUAUUUUGGUUAUUCAUGUUCAACAGGAAACUCAUUUGUUAAUAUUUUGAGUCCAUAAAACCCAAAAGUGACUAGUAAAUGACAUGAAAGAAAAUGUUAGGAAAUAUACCAGUUAGACAAAUUGAGAUGACAUGAACAAAAUGUACUAGUGUUAUCAAAGUUUCCAUUCCUGUAGAACAAGAAAUACAUUGCCAAAAACUGGAUUGUAGCUCUACAUUGUAUAAUGAUGGUACCUAGAGUCAACUUACUAAGAUAAAGGCAUUCCAAAUAAUCAUCUCAGCUUCAGCUUCAUUUGUUAUCUAAAACACUAAGAAUUAGUAGUGAUUGAAAAUCCAUAAAAUAGGAGCGCCCAAUACACAAAACAUUGGGAAGAAAAGGACUUCAAUGUAAGAUUGUUUAUAUUGUAAGAUUGUUAAUAGUUUUGUUAUUUCUGUAAUGCAUUAAACAUUAAUUAUAGUGUGCUUUGAAUUUCUAGGUUAGAGUGAGACACACAGUGCAAACGGAGUACAUUGUGGAAGUGAACCGUAAGUUGACUUCUUUUCAACGAGAAAGGAUACAACAAAUCCCUUUUAAGAGAACUCCUAAGUAGAUGGAAUGGAAGUAAGCAAAGUUUGAUGUUUAGGGAAAAAUUAGUUCCUUUAUCACUUAUGGAUAUCUGUAUGGGACUGAGAUUGCGUGUUGGGGGGGGGAGUUGUAAAUUUAGAGGAUGAUACAGAAGGGUUGGUGAAUCAGUUGUUUGACGGAGAGGACAUUAAUGUACGUAAUAUUAUGAAGAAAAUGACUGAUGAAAAAUUUAGGCUGAGAGAAAAUGUUGAUGAUUUUUGUAGGUUAUACAUUUUUCUUUCAUUUGUUGUUUUUUUAUUUUCUUAGGAGUUAUAAGAAUUUUUGUAGCUUUCCUUUUAGACUUUUAGACAAUUUAGAUGCACUCCACAUGUACAAUUGGGGGGGUGCAGUUCAUGAAUCAGUUGUUUCCAGUAUAACUCGGGCUUCCAAAGUAUAUUACCAACAAAGGAAUUUGUGUCAGACAUACUUAGUUGGUUGUGUUGCUGUAUUGCAGGUAUGUUCAAAAUUCAGGACAAUGGACGAUAUAAUGUAAUAUUCAUAAUCUUAAAGCGAAGGUUUUUAUUCACUAAUGUUUUUGUGCAACAACUGUGGCCAGUUGAACAUGCUGGGCUUGACAAAGCGGGAAAUAAUUUUCGCUUUCCUCGAUUUUUGCAAUGGUCGUGUGUAAACCUUCAGUCAAGAAAGAUACAUGAUGCUUUUUUAUUAGCUGAGGUGGAUUAUAUUGUUAACUUUGUGGUUGAUAGUUUUGUCUUAAUUUGUUUAUCAUAAUAAAUAAUUUUGUAUUUCAGAUUUCAUGGGAAUGGUUCUUGACUGAAGAAGAAUGAAGGUUGGAUAUUGUUAUUGAAGCUGUACGUGUUAGUUCACAUGAAAAACAUGAAUGUACUGGCCCUUCUUUUAAUGAAUGAGAAACAAUUCUUCAACAACAUAAAGUUUCCCAAAAGCAAAUUAUAGCCAAUCACAAGAGGCUAUGUGAUCUGCAGAAGGAAAUUAAAAUUAUGCAAGAACAAGUGCACAAAGUAAACCAUUGGUCAGUACUACUUCCUUUUGCUGAAGACCAACCUAGUGCUCGUGCUGAAGACAAAGCCAGUGCUACUGAAGACGUACCCCUUGAUGGAAUGAAGAUAUAUACAAUAAUGUGUUCAUUGCAGGGACUGUACUUAAAUCGAUAAGUGAAUAUAUAAUGAACUAGUGAUACUUACCAUUACUUAAUUAACUUAUUUAAGUCAGUUACUUUGAGCAUUUAUUUUUUAUCCUGUUGCAGUGUUGUUGUUGACAUCAAAAACCUGAUAUUGACUAGGGCUGACUUGCAUUCAUUAAGUCACAGGUCAAGAGUUAACGACAUGGUACAUUUCUUUGUAUAAUCUUUGAUUUGUAUUGAAUUAUAGUUUGUAAAUUGAAAUAGUUACAAUGUAUUUUUAUGUUAUGUUAUUUGCUACUGGUUUCUUCAUGCUUGAUGAAUAUCAUAGAACUGGAGGGGUUGACCGCUUUUGCUUUAAUUCUUUCUUUGCGGUAAGUCAACUGUGUGUAUUUAUUGUUGUUUGUUUUUAUGAUGAAGUUAAUGUUAACAGUACUUAUUGUUUGUUAUAGAGUCGCGUAAUCAAAGAAAUGACCAUGAGUCCCACAAUUUGGCAAAAGAAGGACUACAUGUCCUUUUAUAAAAAGAGUUUCUUUGAAUUAGAAGAGCUAUCACAAUGUGAAUUUGUGAGUGAUUUAUUUAUUUAUCCUUAAUUACCUGUUAAUGAAAUUUAUUUUCAUGUUACGUUAUCAACAUUGAUGACCCAUACAAUUUAAUCUUACGACAAUCUAAAUAUGCUAUAUGAUCUUAUUAUAUGUUUUUUAGUAUAAUAAAUAAGAUUAAGUUAACUUAAGUUUUAAAGUAAUAAUUAUGUGUUAAAUUUUAUAUUAUUUAAAGAGCUAAUAUUAAUUGUAUAUAAGAUAGAUGCACUAGAAAUGAUAUAAUCAAUCUUAUAGAAAAUUUAAUGUGAAAAGUUUUAUUUGAAAAGGAUUUAUUUCAUACUACAAGUUGAUUCUAAAGCAACACAAAUAUUUACAAGGAAAUAAUGUAACAACAACUAAUUUUAUAUACUAUCUUUUAAAUAUAUUAUUUUAGAUAUCUUAGUUAUCAAUGUUUCUAAAAGAAAUAUAUUAAAAAAAUCAAAACUAAUUAAAGUAACUCUUUAUAAAAGAUUAAAGACCAUAAUUUUAUAUGGUAAAAAAAAAUCUAACAAUCAAUCUUUGAGAUACAAAAUCAAUAACUACAUAAAGGAUAAAAUUUUAUAAACUAUGAAAGAAAAGGAUUUCAACUAAGAAGGAUAAUGAUUCUUACCUCUCUUCCAAAUUCACACAUGAGAAAUUUCUAUGAAAACACUUUACAUGUUGAAAGAAAACAUCUUUACACUCUUCACUUUAUAACGUUAGCCAAAAGAGCAUUAGAAUUAUCUACACUUUCUUUAAGAGCUAUCCUUUUUAUUAUAUUUUUGUAUAGAUAGAAGGGAUAAUGUAGAAUACUUAAAUUUCUAAUUUUAAGAAGAUAUUAAUAAUUAAUUUUUGAGAUUGACUUGGUGUAUUCAAUAUAUCCAAAAAUGUUAAUAAGAAUACUUGUUUAAUUUGAUUAUGAUGGAACCUUUUAAGAGUGACUUAAAAUGAAAAUUUGAUGCAACUUAUAGUUGAAGCAAACUAUCAUAAAUAUUGUUGUCCUUCCUACAUUUAUUCUUUUUAUCCUUUGUUAUUGAGUCUUCAUCAAUAACUAUAAUUAAAAAGUUAUAAGAGUUGUUCCCAAUGAUUCUCUUCCCAAAUAGAAAAUAAAGUGCCAAUAGUAAACAAACAACUUUUAUUAUCUGGGAUUACUUCUCACAAAAAAUUCCUUUAUUUACUAAUCUAAUUGCUACAUGUAACCAUUGUGGUAAGUUGUUUAAAUGUGAUCCAAAGACACAUUGCACAUCCAACCUAUUUAAUCACAUUAAAUAGAAAAUCUAAAAUAUUCUUAUGGUGUCAUUAAUGAUCCCAAUAAAACAACUCGCAUAUAUUUGAAAGCCAUGUUGCAAACAACCAAAGGUAUACUGUUAAAGGUUGUUGAAAAACAAUUGUUAAUUUUGUCAUUGAAGAUGAAUAACUAUUUAGGAUGGUUGACGGAGAAGGCUUUAAGAACCUGUAUAGACAAUUACAAUCUUUGUCUACUAUCUCAUUUAGGCUUACUGUAGUUUAAAAUUGAUUUCAAUCAUAUAUGGAAAAAUUAGAAUAAAGGUCUUAUUUAAGUCAAAUUGUGUUAAGAUAACACUCGCUACUAAUUGUUAGAUGUAACAUCUUUACUUUUAAAUAAUUAUAUUAUUCAUUUAUUUUGUCUUUACUAUAAAUAUAAGUUAGAAAGUCUCACGUUUUAACUUCUAUGUUAAAUUUAUAUUUUAAAAGUUAGAUUACUUUUUUUAUAUACUUUUGUGUUUUAACUAAUAAUGGUUGUGUUUCAAAGAAUACUCAAAUUUUAGUUAAGAUUGAUUUGCAUUGAAAAGAAUACUCAAGUUUUAACUAAGAAUGGUUGCAUUCAAAGAAUAUUGAAGUCUUAGCAAAUAGUGAUUGUUGUUCCAAAUAAUGCUUAAGUUUUAACCAAGAUUGGUUGCGUUAUAAAGAAUACUCAAGUUUUAGCUAAGAAUGGUCGCAUUCAAAGAAUGCUCAAAUCUUAGCAAGGAGUGAUUGUUGUUCUAAAGAAUACUUGAGGUUGUUUAGCUAAAAGUGGUUGGAUUUCAAAUAAUACUAAUUUAUUAGUCAAGAAUGGCUACAUACCAAAGAAUACACAGUCUUAACCAGGAGUGUUUGGGUUCCAAAUAAUAUUCGUGUUUAUCCAAAAGUGGUAGGUGAUGACUAUUUUACAGUAAGUGUACCGAGUUAGAAGUAAUAAAUUAUCUCUAAGGAAGGAUAUAAAACCCACAAGAAAAGUUCUAAAAUCCCAAGUAUAACAUUCACUAAAUACAAGAAAAUGUGUAAAAGUUUGUUUGAAAGGUUAUUUGUAUCGUGAAUUUAUAAGAAAUUAACUAAAAACAAAGUAAUUGAUUUGGAUAAUUCAAUUGACAAAAUUGGGAUUGUUAUUCCUUCUCACUCGUUUGUAUUUCCAAUGAAUAAAAACAUAUAGCAUUCUAUCUUCAUUGACAUGAAUGCACAUAUAAAAAUCAUUCAUAUCGAUUCUUAGCAUACAAAAUCAUUAAGAAUGUCUCCUAAAUAUUGAUUCCUUGCAUAUUUAUAAUUUUUUUUUUAUCAUUAUGAAUAGAUGUUAUAUAGGAAUUAACAUUUCAAAUCUAUUCUUUGCAUUCAAAUAUGUUAAGCAUUAUCAAUUAGGUCGGAUACUUAGAAAUACUUUCUAGUCAAAUCUAAGGAUCAAUAUCAUGAAUAAAGAUUCAAACUUUAAUAAUAAAAUGACAAUACCAAUCAUAAAUAAAAAACAUAAUAUUAUAAAUAAAUAUCACCUCAAUACAUAAGAGUUUAAACAAAUUACUCUCAGUCCCAAAUGGAAGAAUUAACCACUCAUGUUGGCCAUUACAAGCAUGAAAAUUGAGAAAAGAAUAUCUAGGGUGUUUCUCCUUAACGACUGACUUCUCUAGGGUUCUCUAUCUCUAUAUAUAUUCCUAGCGAUAUUUAGGGUUUUGCCUCAUGCCUUCUAUUUAACCUAAUUGGACUUAGGUUAAGUGACAUCUCGCUCAAGCGAAAUAUUGCUUGCUUAAGCGAGUUUCACGAGAAAAAGACAAACUUUGUCUUUUCAUCUUGUCUUUAACUUGUUCAUUCUUCUUUAACCUUUUUAUCUCUAUCUUCCCCUAGAUUCACGAAAUUAGCACAAACUUGAUAAUAUAUUAUUUUUAUUCAUCUUAUAAUCCAAAAAUAUGUAAAAAAUUCAAAAUUAGAGGUUGAAUUAUAACUCUAUUAACAAUUAAAGUCCAUAAGUGUCUAUCUUUUACAUGAAAUAUUACUGAAUUAUGACACUUACCAAUAGGGUCCAAAUAAUACUUGUUUUGUAACUUGUAGUGUUAGUCUGUCAUAGUGGAACUUGAUUACAUUGAUUAAGAAUUGGACGUAGUUUGGAUUAUUAGACGAACCAAUAUAAAAAUUAUUGUGUAAAUCUCUCUUAACUUUGAUCGUUUUAUAUUCCAUGUGAUGAGCAUAAUUUUAUUCACACUUUAAAACUUUAAUUAUAGACUCUUGGACUGUAAUCAUGAAUAAAUUCAUUAUUUGAAUUGAUAUUAAUCUAAUUGGAAUUAUUUAACUAAUAAUUUUGUGUUUUUAUAAUAGACGAUCUGCUACACGGUCUGAAUGAAGUAUUUAUCACUGUGAGUAAGUUGAAUAUGCGAAAGUUCAAGUUAUUUCUUUGAAUCAACAAAAACUGAAUCCUGAGAAGAAAAAUAAGAGAAUCAAAUCUACAAUAUCUUAGAAACAAAAAUUGGAAGUAAAUCAUCAAGUUUCACAACGACUUUUGGAAACUAGAACAUUAUGAUUUUCUUAGUUUUCUUAUUUUCUUCUUUGUAAUAUUUUUGUUUUGCCUCCACAAGAAAGACUAAACUCAUUUGGGUCGAUUAUGUUGUAAUUUCACAAUGAAUUAUUAAGUUUUGUGAAAUUAAAGUUUGUUCUUCAAUAUCUUACUGCGCGCUAAAAUGUUUUGUUUUUUAGUAUAAUUGCUAUUUUGAGAAUUUUUUUUAACACAUGUUGAUAAUUCAAUUUUGUCUUUAAUUAAACUCUUGUUUAGUAAGGUACUGAAUAAAUUAGUAGAUACAUUACUUCCGAGUAAGUAGCUAUGGUGAGUUUUGUUGACACAAUACUCUUAAGAAGCAGUGUUAGAGUGUUAACACUUGAUUCAACUCCGAGCAGCGACAUAUCAUCUUAUUUUCUAAAAAAUAGGUCCUAUAAUGAAUUCUUAUUUCUAUUCCUAGUAUUUUUAUUUUUCAUUCAAUAUGGUUAUGAUAUUUUCCACUUUAAAGCAUAUUAACCUAUAUAUCAUUUUCGGUUGCAUCUCUUUUAUUUUCAAUUCAUUUGAUAACCUUAUUAUUAGGCAAUGAAAUAAUAGGAUUAUACAAUUCAUUCAAAAAAAGAUCGUGACAAUAACUUUUUUUUAUCACAAAAUUGUUAGUUACUCAUUGGAUUUCAAACUAUUUAUCAUUUAGUAAUUUAUACAAAUCAUUAAUAUUUUUUUAUGGACUUUUUUUCUAUUUUUUAUACGGUUCAUUGCUAAAAAAACUAAUAUUUGAGUAAAAUAAAAACACCAAGUAUUCUUUUGACUUCAGACUUUGCUACUUUGAGUCUUUCAAUUGAAUUAUAUCAAUUCUUUCAUUAAUGAGAUUCUAUUGUCUUUGACGGAUGAAUGUUUGGUCAAUUCAAUUCCUUUUGAAUAAUUGUAAGAAUACUGUACUUAUUACUUGAUUAAGAAAUUAUUUUUGAAAAAACUAGAAAGCGAAUCUAUUUUCUUUUACUAUUUUAUCAUCUUUAUUUUAUUUUCUACAUAACAAUCUCUCUGUACCAAACCAAAUAGAGGAUAACUUAUAGAGAAUAUUUUUUUAUUAUUCUUUUUAAUAAUAUGUGCACACAUAUGUCAAAAUCAAAUCAUAUUUUUAUAAGUAAAGUUUUAAGCAAAUUUUUAUACAUAUCUUAUUUAUUUGUUUAAGAUUAACUGUUAUGAGUUCACUAUUAUCAUUCGUGUGUAUAUUAUAUUUAUUAAAUCUUAUUUUAUUUUAAAUUAUUUAUUAUUAUUACACUAAUUUAUCGAUAACAUUUGAACAUUUGCCGCCUUAAAUAUAAUGUGAAUCGAAUUCUGUUGCUUCCACUAUUUAAAUUAUUAUUAUUAUUAUAUUAUCCUAAAUGACGUUGCGCUUAUAUAAUAAACACAUUACGAUAUAUUAAUAUUAUUAAAUUCCAUUUUUUUUGAAAAAGGAAACAAUAGUAAAAUUUAAAUUUAAUAGUUUAUUAAAUUUAAUGUUAUUAAAUUACCUAAUGUUUUAUUUUUCUCGUUUCAUUUCCCAAAACCGGAACUUCGUGACACUUGUUUCCGUCUCCCUUGGAGGAGACAGUGGUUGCCGCCACUCUUCUAUGCGCCCCCUUCUUCUCUAUCAUGGUGAACGCCACCAUAACCAUCACUAUCAUCAUCCUCAACAUCACCAUCUUCAUAUCCUGAUAAAAGGCGAGGGUUCUCUCUGCCUCAAAACCCUCCCCUAUUUCAUGUUCGAUCACUGAAGAGGGUUUCUGAUUUGGAUGACAAUGGGAGAUUUGAUGGCCUCUCGCUUUUACCAGAACCACCACGACGAUUCCACCGUCUCAUCAUGUACCUCCUCCUCCUCCGUCGCGGUCGUCAUCGCCAGUUACAACACCGAUGGUUCUGAUUUCACGCCCCGCUGCGACUCUGAAACCGCCAUUGCAAGCAGCAGCGGUAACUACACCGGGAAUGGAGCCACCAGCAUGGCCUACCUGCCGCAGAUAGUCGUCCUCUGCGAGCUCCGCCACGAAGCCUUCGAGGCCGCCAUUCCCGCCGCCUCCGACAUCAGCCUCGUCUCCAAGUGGCGACCCAAGGAUAGGGUCAGUUUGUUAACCUUGUUUGUGUUAUCUGCAUUUUGCUGUGAUGAAUCGGUGAUUUGCGUUACAGAGAGAUUGGAAUAUUUCGAGUCCUGUGUGUCACUUGUUCUGCGUGACGGGAAUUUGGGAAAUGUAGAAAAAUGGGCGUUUUGGUCAAAGUAGUGGCAGCAGUGGUGACUGUGAAUGGAUGACUUCUUUUGACUAUGUUUGUGUAUGUGAUAAUGUUGUGAGGGACUCUUCAAGGACUUGAAAUGUUGAUCUCUUAAACAUUAAGUUUUGUUAAUGCGAGAAAAGAAGGCAAACACAGGAAAGCGCUCAAGGCAAAAAGCAAGAUGGAAAAGUUUGUUAUAUUGAUUCAGAAUAUAUACACAUUGUGUGUAAAGAAAAGGACAAAAAGAAAAUAAUAGAAAGAUAGCGCUUAUAGGAAAGUUGCACCUUAUUCCCUUUUUAGAAAGUUUUAGGUUAAGUAUUUCUUGUGAUUGGACUCAAAUUAUUGAUUUGUUUGAGGUGCUGUGUAGUCUUCUUUCGGCCCUUCACAAGUCAGGUUGGAAGACGUCAAGAAGCUCCAACUUGGAUAAAUUGGAAUGAAUAAGCUAUGGUGGAAGGGUUUUAGUAAGGAUAUUUGCUAAGUGAUGUGAUGAAGAGAUUAGUAGAAGAUGCAUGAGUCCAAUAAUUAUUUUUUCACAAACAAUGUGACAAUCAUUCUCUAAAUGUUUCUUUCUUUCAUGAAAGAUGAGAAUUCUAGCAAUGUAUAAAGCGCUUUGGCCAGCACAAUAGAAAACAUGACUCUUAGUGAUAGGAAUUCUCAAAUCAUCAAGAAGGAAAGAAAGUCAUUGACGCUCGCAAGUGGCAGAGCAAGGACCCUAUACUCGAUUUUUGUAGAAGAUCGAGAGAAAAAAUAGAUUAUUUCUUGGAUUCCAAGACACCAAAGAAUUGCCAAUAAAAUAAAGUAACCAGUGAUGGAACGUUGUGUAUCAAUACAUGAGGUCCAAUCAACAUCACUAAAUCCAAAAAGUUGUGUUGAUGACCUGCGACUAAAAAGUAAGCCUUUUCCAGGACAUUCUUUUAGAUCUCGAAUUACUCUUAAGGCAACUUAAAGAUGAGUUUGAGUUGGUGUGACCAUGAAUUGACUGCAUUGUUGGGUACCAGGUCUAGUGUUGGUUAAAUAUAUGAGACAUCCCACCAAUCGUCGAUAUGACAAAGGGUCAGGUAAAUGUUCACUAGAGUCUUAAUGGAGACGUAGGGAGUCAUCCAUUGGAGUGGAAAAUGGUUUGCAACCCAUGAGGCCAUAAUCCUUAAUCAAAUCAAGACAAUAUUUGCGUUGACUGAGAGAAAUGCCUUGGCCGGAGUUAGCUACUUCUAUUUCCAAAAAACAUUUCAACUGACCAAGGUCCUUUAUAUGGAAAUGAGAAUGGAGAGUGACUUUAAUCUUAGUGAUCUCAGAAGCAUAAUUUCCAGUAAGCACAAUAUCAUCAAUGUAAACAAUAUGAGCAGUGAAAACAUAACCAAUAUUUUUUUAUAAACAAACUAUGAUCAGCAUGGGCUUAAGCAUAUCCUAAAGAUGGCUGUAAAAGAGAUAUUUUUUCAUACCAUGUGCGACUUGUUUGUUUCAGGCCGUAGAGAUUUUUUGAGUUUGCAGCAUUGAUUAGGAGGAUAACUGGAUAGUCAAGGAGGGAUCACCAUAUAAACCUACUCUAAAAUUUCUCUAUGAAGAAAUGCAUUACUGACAUCAAGUUGUUGUAAUUCCCAAUUGUAAAUGGAUGUCAAGGCUAAGACAACUUUGACCGUGGUCGUUUUUACAACAGGGGAGAAAGUUUCUAGAUAGUUAACCCCUUCAAUUUGAGAGUACCCCUUUGCUACCAGGCCAACUUUGUAACGCUCAAUAGUCCCAUCAGGUUUUCUCUUUAUUUUGAACACCCAUUUGCAUUCGAUGGGUUUGACAGAGGGAGAUGUAGUCACAAUAUCCUAAGUUUGGUUGUCAAUUAAGGCUGCAAUUUCAGCCUGUAUAGCCUCCUACCAACAAGGUUGGGUAAUAGCCUCCUGAUACGUCUUUGGUUCUUGCUCAGCAUGGAGACACAUCAGAAAGUGAGAGUGAGAAGAAAACAAAUGAGAAUAAUCAAUGAACGACUGGAUAGGAUACCAGAUCACUGAAGAUGAUUGGUUAGAUUGUGCAAGAGCAAUAACUUGAAGAAGUGUUGCAAUAAUAAUCAUCGAGAUAUUGUAAACGACUGGUGAGGUGUGUGGAAUGUCGUGGUGUAGGUGAGGUUAGAGGUGGUGCAGAAACUAUGGAAUCCGGUGAGGGAGAGAUUUGUUGGUGUGGUGAGAGGGAGAUAGAUGAAGAUGAAGUAGGACUUGUGGCAUUGAUGAAAUCUUGCGGUAUAGGUAGAGUAAGUGGUGUAGAGGUAAGGUGGGGAGAAUAAGGUAUGUCUGGUGUAGGAAUGGUUUUGAUAUAAAGUGGGUUAUUGUCAUUUUCAAGGGGUUCAAUGGUGCUAGAUUGAGAGGAUGAGAAAGGAAAAAUUGUCUCAUUGAAUUGCACAUUGCGAGAUAUAAAAAUUUCUUUAUUGUUGAUAUAAAAAAUGACAUAGCCCUUGGUCCCUAUUUGGAAGCCUAAAAAAAUUCCACAUCUUCAGUGGGAAGUUUUUGACAAGGAGCAUUUUUUGAUGCAUAACAAAGACAACCAAAAAUUGUAAUCAUGUAAAGAUCAGGAGAAUCAUUAUACAAUAAUAUAAUUCAAAAUGAGUUUUAUUUUGAAUAACAGGAGAAUAAAUACGAUUUAUCAUAAAGACUACAUGCUUAAUAGCAUAAAACCAAAAAUGUUUUCGAAGAUUAGAUUGAAACAUGAGGGUCCUGAUAACAUUAAGAAUGUGUUUGUGUUUUCUUUUUACGCAUCCAUUUUGUUGAUGGAUAUAUACACAAUUUGUUUGAUGUAAAAUACCUUUAAAGGAAAAAUAUUUCUUUUGACAAAACUCAUUUUCAUUGUCAGAACGAAGAUAUUUAAUAGUGGUGUGAAAUUGGAUUUCAAUUAAAGCAACAAAGUUUUGGACAUGCAUUUGGACCUCACAUUUUGAUUUUAAUAAGACAAUCCAUGUAAAAUGACUAAAAUCAUCAACAAUGUUAAAAAAAUAUUUAUGACUAUAAAUAUAAAUUUUAGAGAAGGGUCCCCAAAUAUCCAUAUGGUCUAAAUCAAGUAAAUUGCAAGAUUUAUUGAUUCUUGGAGAAUAUGAGAGACAUUUUUGUUUAGCUAAGUGACAAAUGUCACAAUUGUCACCAACAUGCAUAGAAAUAAAAGGAAAAGUCAUGUGCAAAACAUUGAGACGAUUUUCUCAAAGGUGUCCUAGUCUAAAAUGUCAAAGGUUGGUAUUAGUGAUAGGAUAGGUGGUGAAAUUAUUGAUGGAGACUUUGAUGGUUUAGGGAUGUUAAGAGGUGUUAAACACACAUGCCGAUUGAUGUCCAAGUGAUAAAACCCUUGUUUUAAUUUACCCAAACCAAUAGUCUUCAAGAUCCUGUUCUAUAUAUAACAAUUGUCAUUAAAAAAUCAAAAAAUAAUUUAGAGAAGAAAUGAGUUUAGAAAAAGAGAGAAAAUUAAAUUUAAAGUUGAGAAUAUAAAGGACAUCAUGAAUAAGUUUUGACUGAUUUGAAUAGAGUUGAAAAAAUGUGCAAACUCAUGAACACCAUUGGAUAAAUUGAUUUGGAAGGUGGUGAAUGGUGACAAUGGAUAGUGUGUUCUCCAUCUCUCAAUUAGACGAACAAGACCAUGUGCAUGUAAGAGAAAAUCAAGACAGUGGUUGGCAGCUUCGACGAACCUUCUAGGCUGUUGUCAUUAUAGACCCUUUCCACAGUGGCCUUAUCUCCAAGUGACGACCCAAGGAUAGAGUUAGCUCAAUCACUCUGGAAAGUAUGAUUAAGUUGUUAUUUGUUAACUUUGUUUAGGUUAUCUGUAGCUUGCUGUGAUGAAUCAAUGAUCCCCGAUUUGCGCGACAGUGUCCCAUGUGUCACGUGUUUGGUGGGAUAGGAAUUUGGGAAAUGUUGAAAGAAUGGGCGUUUAGGUUAAUGCAAUGGUGACUGUGAAUGGAUGACUUUGUUUCGUUUGUAGGGGUGACAAAACGGGGAGCUUACUAUAGGCCCACCCAAAACAGGACGAAGGUGGGCUGACCCACCAUAAAACAGGUUGAAAAUCUUGGUAUGCUCUCUAAAGAGUAGGCUGGCGGGCCAACCUACCAACUUUUGUUAAUUUUUGUCUUUUUAACUUUUGUUUAUUUAUAUAUAUAUAUAUAUAUUUAUUAAAAACAUAUUUAAUCGUAUAAAUAUUUUCUAAAUUUUUGAUUGAUUAAUUAAUGUCUCUAAUAGGAAACUUUAAAACAAUUAUUACCUUUACAUGUUAAAUUACUCAAUAAUAAUUAAUAAUUGAAACUUAAUUUUUAAGUGUUAAUGAUUUAUGUUACAAUAAUUAUUGUCUUGGUCUGUCUUUGACGGGUUUGGCGUGACAGGCAAAAGUGAGCUAGCGGGUUAAAAACACUAACACGGCCCACCAAAUUUUGGCAAGCUGGCCCGCUGGCCAAGGUUCACUUUACCACCCGUAUUCGUAUGCCUAUGUUUGCAUAUAUGAUAAUGUUGUUAAGGACUAAAAUGUAAAAUGAUUGACCUGUUAAGCACCAAGUUUUGUUAAGACGGGAUCCUUUGAAGUGCAAAAAUGAAAUGUUGAGUUAUAUUGAACUAAUGAUUGAUGAGAAAAUCGAGUGAGUUAUGUGAUGUUUGUGGGUUUUUAUGCAACUUCUUUCUUUACAGUUGAAAGAAGAAGGUUGAAUAUAUCUCUGAAUGUGUUUACAAACGUGGUUACAAUCUAAACUUUUAGACUAUUUACAACCUACUUAAAAUAGGUAAUUAAAACAAAAAAUAAUAAGUAAUUAGAGUUAUACAAAUUAAAUCACCAAAAAAUAUUAAAUCUAUCCUAAUAAAUAGAAAACAGAAUCUGCACUAAUUAUGAAAUAAUUAUCUCCUAAUUAUGCAACAUUGCACUUUGUACUUCAGCUGAUCUUCAAUUCGAUCAAUUCAAAAAUAAUGAUAACGGUAUCUGAUCAUACUUGCAUUGGGGAAAUUUCCUCUAUUAAUUGUGAGCUUGGUUUUUGAUGAAUUCUUAUUUUGCUAAAGAUUUGGCUGUAAAAGUGGAUAAAGUAUCCUGGAAUUUGCUUGAUUGAAUUAGUGAUUUUGGAAUGAAGGUGGGGGAAAGAUUGUUUACAUGUGUUUCUUUAGGGUGGUAGGACUUGUGUAAAUCCUGGUAGCUUGCAUUAGGAAGUGGCUUGUUUACAUGAAAUGGAGGUUGCUAGCUUCUUAUAUUGGUUGAAACUGCUUGACUCUUGAAAGAGGUGGAUUUUGGUCUAAAUGUAUACAUACGUAAAAUUAAGUAUAUGCUUUUUUGUAAAAAUGUGAAAUAAGCAGGCCACUUUUGCCUAAUCUGAUUGUAUCAACUGGAAAUUUUGUGUCAUCAGUUUUCCAAUGAUCUUUAUCUAUUCCCUUCUGUGUUCUUUUUUUUGCAACUAGUGCAAUUGGUUUUUGUUAAAAAAAGUUGAGGCUUCUUCGACAUAAGUAGUUUGAUUGACUGUUAAUGUUCUAAAGGUGUUGAUAGCAUGACAGUUUCGUAUACCCUGGCUGUUUUGAAUUUGCAAUUUUUCAAUCUGUCUUAUUACUAUUGUGGAUGUAACUUUAGAAUGAAGAUUGAACAAAGAGGUUGUUCUCUACUCAAUAAAAUACAAUAUUUCUUGCUGCAUUUGAAAUAACACAUUACAAAGUGUGUAAUGUAUAAAUGUGGUUUAUUUUUCUGGUAAGUUUUAUACUGUUGGUUCGUUGCUUUGUUUUGGGAGAGGGUAGGGUGGAGCUCCAUUUUAAAGAUAACGUUUCUCCCAUUUAUAAAGGAUUUCUUGAAUAAUAGUCUACCUUUGUAAUGGAUUUCUGGUGUAAAUUAUAUUGAUAUUUAACAUUUCUCUUCAUAAUCAAAAUACAUUUUUUUUAUCCAAGUCUCUGUUUAUUCCUCUAAGAUCUUUUAAAGUCUUCUUUAAGAUGUUUAUAUGCUGUAAGAAGUAUGAUCCAUUUUAACACCUAAUUUUGUGAUGCAGAUGAAGACAAGAUAUGUAGCUCUAGUAUUAUGUUUGAACAUUAGUGUGGACCCACCAGAUGUAAUAAAGAUAUCCCCUUGUGCCAGAAUGGAGUGCUGGAUAGGUGUCUUGUUACCUUUAAUCUCAUUUAUUUAGUUGUUGUUUUCUGUAGUUUGUACUCUCAAGUUGUUACCUGGAUUUGAGAUAUUUUGCAUUUUUAUCCUCAAUUCAUGUUUGGAAAUAGCUUCGGGCUUCUUUAUGAUAUUAUAUGACAUGUUUUUGUUAUUAACUAUUUGUUUUUGCAAGUUCAUAUUUCUGAUGAAUUAGUGUGCUGUUUUGCAUUUAUAUUUUAUGGUUGAACUUUUUGAUUCAUACUUGUCUUCAACUUUUUAUCCAGUCAUUAACUUUUUCAUCCGCAGCCUAAUUAUCUAGAGUUAUUUGCAACUUUGUCAAUGAAAAAUGUAGCAAAAUGGGUUGAGUAGAAUCUUUGUGACGUAUCAAAACUUUGUAGGCUUGCGAAAAUGGUUAAGGUGCAAACAGUUUUUGAUGCUUACCUUGCUCAAUACUGCAGAUCCUUUUUCUAUGGGACCACGAAAGGCAUUGGAGUCAAUUGGAAAAACUUUGAGCAGUCAGUAUGAAAGAUGGCAACCAAAGGUGGGAAUGUUUAACUAGCUAACCUUAUCCUCAUGUUUUCUUUGAAAUUGUUUUAUAGUUAACCUUAUCGAGAUCUUUACAGGCCCGCUAUAAAUGUCAACUUGACCCGUCAGUGGAUGAGGUGAAGAAACUUUGUACUAAUUGUCGUAGAUAUGCAAAGAGAGAAAGAGUUUUAUUCCAUUACAAUGGGCACGGCGUCCCAAAACCAACUGCUAACGGUGAAAUAUGGGUCUUCAAUAAGGUCAAUGUUUGUAUUUUCUCAGUUCUUGUUGCGAAAUAUUAGUCUCCCCAGAAAACUCACACAAAAAAGUAAAAGGGAGACACUAAAUGAUACUUAGAGUGAGUUUAGUGUCCCAUUAAAUUAACAUUAACUCAAAGGUUGCUAAUGAAUUAGUGGGAACUAUGGGGACACAACUAUUUUUCUUUUAUGAUUUUAGUAUCCGUUUAAAACCUUUUUGUCCACACUAUAAUUAAUAUUUAAUUUUGUGUCUCAAUUAUGUAGAAUUUGGGGACAUUAAUAAUGUUAUUCACUUGAUCCUCACUUUUUUUUGGAGCUAAUUACAACUUUUCUUUGUAGUGUAGUUACUCGAUAAAUCAAAUAUUGUUCUCUUCAUACUGGCAAAGUAGGCCCAGUUGAAAAAGAAGUAGGCAUGGUUUUCAAAAUGGCGAGUCAACUUGUAAACUCGUGAGAAUUUAUGUUCCUAAACCGUCGAACUUAGUUAACUCUUGCAAACAGGAGCAAACUUGCUCAAAGAUCAAGAGUUUUGAGUUGAUUUACCAAAAUGAAUUGGACAUUAGAAAAGAUCCAACAAUGACUCUGGAUUUGUUUGUUUCUAGGCCACGAUUUAUGCAAAACGCACCUAGGGAACAAUUUUAUGGUUCACUGGUUCUAUCUUGCAGGUUUCUGUUUGAUGUAGGUGUCGAUGUUGUGUCCUAUAGCACUAACAAACCUCUCUUGGGGUCUUUCUCAGCUCCGCCCCUUUUCGUGUUUGUGAUUCUCCUGGACAUUUUUAAUCUCACUUUUCUCUCAUUUCCUUUCUCUUGUGUAUCUCAUAUAUAGGGCUGGUGCAAACUACAAAUUAGUGGGUUGAGUCAUAUUAGGGUUUGUUUUUAGGUUAUUUCUCCUUGUACCAUAUCAUUUAAGAAAAAAUGCAACCUAACAUAAAAUUUAAAACCCAACACUACCCUUGACUUCAUGUUUGCUUAUAGAUGCAUAAAUCUGGAAGAUCGUUUUCGUGCUUCAUUUAAGCUUUUGGAUGGGGUGGCAAAGUGGGGCGGGCCAUGCGGGCCGGCCCACGACCCACGGGAAAAAACGCGGGGUGGGCUGACGUUUUCAACCCGCUGACCCGCAUUAGCCCGCCCCGCAUAACCCGCGGCCCGCACGGGCCAACAGCGGGGCGGGGCGGCUGGCCCGCUAGCCCACAAAAAAAAAAUAAUAAUAAUUGAUUUGACUUGCUAGAAUAUAACUUUCUCUGUUCAUCAAUUCUUGAAAUUUAUUCUAUAGUGGUUCAUUACAUUACAACAGUAACAAUUAAAUCUAGUGUGAUUAAACUAUUUUUUACAAAAUUUGAAGGUUCCUUUUAAGUGAUCAUCCCUUUAUAUUGAGACAAUGAUUUAACAAGACAUAUAGUUUAUAUUUUAUAAACUUUCUCUAUUAAGUAACUGGUAUAGACAUAUACAUAAAUUUUAUAUCUUGAAUCCUUUGUUGCGUUUGUUCUAAGCUUGAUUUCAUGAACAUUGGUUUCCAAACUCUCAAAAAAAAAAAAAAAGCGGGCCGACCCGCAAGCCCGCGGGCCAACCCGCAUGCGGGGCGGGUCAUGAAAACCAGCCCGCAUUUUGUAUGCGGGGCGGGCCUAAGCGGGGCGGGCUGACCCACUUUGCCACCCCUACUUUUGGAUGACCAUAUUCGGAAAUGAGUUAUGAAUUAUAGAUUUCCAUGUCCGGAAUGGUGUGCUAUAAAUGAUGCUGAGGAUUGGGAUCCAGAACUCAUUUAUGUUUGCUUACGGAUUUUGACAUCCAGAAGGUCAUUUAUGCUAUCCAGAUAAGCUUCCAGAUGACCAAAUCCAGAAGUGACAUAUUAGUUUCGGACUUGCAUAUCCGAAACUUUGUGAUUUAACUUACGGAAUAUCCAAAAGUCAAAGUCUUUUAAAUCAUUAAGGACAAAACGGACAUUUCAUGUUGGAUGCAAAUUUGAAUUGAUAUGGUGCAGGGAGAAUCAACCUUUUUUUUAUUCCUCUCUUGCUAUUUUGGACUCUUGGCCCUCAGUUUAAGUCCAACAACUUCUCUUUUUAUGUAAAACAUAGUAUAUAAUAUAAUCAACUAGAGUGAUGAUAAAGGAUAAUAAUAUCAGAAAAAUAUAAAAAUAUAUUUAAGAAGUAUAUAAUGUGAUCAACUAAUAAUAAUAUUAUAGUAGAAAAUAUAAAAAGUUGUUUAUAGCAUCAUAUAAUAUUGAAUUAUUAUGUUAUAAGUAUUUUAAUGUAUUUGUUUAUCCAAAGUAAACGUUUUUACUAGUUUAUGAACCUCCCGUGAGUUAAACUCUCACGUUUUAACCUUGUGUGUGUAUAGGUUCCCACCUCUUUAAAAGUGUGCCCUGUUCAGUAGAGAAAAAUAGUAUAAAAGAUAAAAAUGGGAGAAUGGAAAAUGAAUGAUUGUGAAAGCAAACCCAUGAAUAGAAGCAAAAUAGGGUGGCAAAAGUAUGAGAAGAAAAUGGGUAAGAAAGCAAUGCACUAUUUAUUCUAGGCAUGUUGAAUAUAAUAAAUUUUAAUUAUUGUACUUUCAUGCCUCUUGUUUUGCUCAGAUCUUUUUUCGCACCAAGGGAGAUAUUAAAUAAUCAUAAAAGCUCAGUAAAUAAAUAGAAAGAAAGGUAUUUGUUUUGUAAAUGAGAAGAGUUUAUAGUAAUCAUUAUGCUAGAAAAGGAUUUUUUUUUGCUCCUGACUUUACGAUAAUAACUUAUAAAGGUUAAAACUAAACUGGAAUUGUAUCUUAUCACAGAUGCCUGAUUAGUUUAACUUUUGCUACUAGAUAUCAUGGGUUCCAAUUGAGUAUAAUGCCCUCAGUCACAAUAUCAUGAUGAGAAUAGCUACAAGACAUUCCUAUUCUCAUUUUCAUCAUAGGUUAUGCAGAGUUAUACGCAGUAUAUCCCAUUAUCCAUCAAUGAACUUGACUCUUGGCUGAAGUCCCCGUCAAUUUAUGUUUUUGAUUGCUCUGCCGCUGGAAUGAUUGUGAAUUCCUUCAUUGAGGUAUCCACACUACCAUGUUAUUAAAUACUUAUUAAAGAAAUCCAAAUGUAUUGAUACUGAUUUUGUCUUUUUUUGGACUGCCAAAUUUGUUACUGGACUUGUUAUUGAUAAGCUUCAUGAAUGGAGUGCUUCCAACUUCUCUGUGUCCCAAAGGGAUUGCAUUCUGCUUGCAGCAUGUGAAGCACACGAGACUUUGCCUCAGAGUACAGAAUUCCCUGCUGAUGUGUUUACAUCUUGCCUUACGACGCCUAUAAAGAUGGCAUUGCGAUGGUGAAACUUCUCAUUAUUCCUACUUAGUUUAUCCUGUUCAGAAUGUUUAAAAAUUAAAACGUUAAACAUUCACAUAGGUUUAACAUACCUUAUUAUUAUUUUUUAAAUGUAAUAGCAUUAUGCAUGGAUUUUGAAAGCAUUGUGCAUGGACUUCUAAAUGAUGAACACUUUUGUAAGAUGAAUUGUUUUACUUUGCCUACCUAAUUUUAUACCUGAUUAUACUUUUCCAUAUCUGACCCUACUUAGCUACUUUUAUCUAAUAGCAUUCAUGAUAGCUGAUUGUAUACAUCAUAAUCCAGAAUCAUAAAUGUCAUUUUUUAUAAUAAAUUUCUCCCUGGUUGUAUUUUUGCUGUUUAACUGAUGCAUUAUCUUUACUUUAACUUUUGCCGCUGGACUUUUUGUUAACUGCAGUAGUGAUAGAAGAAAAACCCAUGAUAAAGAUGGUUUUUACUAUUAAAUUGAUUUAUGCUUGACAUCUACAAAUUACUAACUUAACUUUUCUCAUUUUCUCUAGCUCCUGAGCUUUCAAGUGUUGGUAACUGAUAAUUGUAUAUCUCAGCAAACUGGGUAUUGAUAACUUUUUUGUGAUGUAAUCUGUCUCCAGGAUUUGUACACGUUCAUUGCUUCGUGAGUCACUGGAUUAUUCACUUAUAGACAAGAUACCUGGCUGUCCUAAUGACCGAAAGACACUUCUGGGUGAAUUGAAUUGGAUCUUUACAGCAGUAACUGAUACAAUUGCCUGGAAUGUUCUUCCCCAUGGUGGGUCUCAACCCUCCCCAUCAUUUUCACCGACUUACUAAAUUGGAACAGUUUCUUUUUGAACUCCAGUUAUUUAGCAAACAUUUCUAGUUGGUAUCUUUUUUUUGUUUUUAUCUUAUAUUGAUAUGUCUUGCAGAUAUUUUUCAGAGAUUAUUCAGACAGGAUUUGCUUGUUAUAAGUCUGUUUCGAAAUUUUCUACUUGCUGAGCGAAUCAUGCGAUCUGCAAAUUGUUCUCCUGUUUCUCACCCAACGUUACCUCCAACCCACCAGCAUCAUAUGUGGUAUUGUUGGUGAUUAUUGUUAUGAUAUUUUUUUAUGUAUUGCCAAAUAUUUUCAACAGUUUAUGUUUUUUCUCCACACGUCAGGGAUGCAUGGGAUAUGGCUGCUGAGCUAUGCCUCUCUCAACUUCCAUCUUUAGUUGAGGAUCCUAAUGCUGAAUUUCAGGUAUCUGGAAUUCUGGAUUUAUUUUUUGUAAUAACUCUGAUGUAGAGUUUGUUCUGAAAUUGAAUAUUAAAUAAUAAAAAUUAGAUAAGGAAUUUUGGUUUAGCAAGGAAUAAUUGCAAUAUAAAGGAUUCUGUAUGAGUUUUGAGCUUACCUGAUGAAACAUGUUGUUCUCUAUCAGCCUAGUACAUUUUUCACCGAGCAGUUGACAGCAUUUGAGGUAUGGCUUGACCAUGGUUCUGAACAUAAGAAACCACCCGAGCAGUUGCCUAUAAUUCUUCAGGUGCGAUCCAUAUCUUUUUCUUGGUUUCCUUUUGAGCCAUUGUGUUGCUUCAUAAUACUCUUGUCAGGUGCUGUUCCUUACUUAAGCUUUUGGAGGGUAAUAUUGAAUUAUAUUUUCUUAGCUGAAAUUGUUUCAAUUUGGUCAGCGUUUCUUAUUAUCUUCCGUAUGAUAGACAUUUGUCAAAAGGAUGUUUUUGUUGUGAGCAUCUACUCUCUUAACAAUGGGGCUAGCUAUAUCUAGUUGUAAUAUGGCAAUGGACAUUUCUGAUUUGUUCAUGUAACCUACAUUACGUGGACUGUUUUAAAAUGUUUCUCACAAUGUGUGUUAUGGUCAAUUCCAGUGUCAAUUAUUUAUCAUUCAUUUAUUUUAGGGACUUUCUUGCAAUUUGUUUGACUUGGCAAUCAUCUUGCUUUGUCUUGACUCUGUACAGGUUCAGAAAUUGUAGCCUUAGUUGUUUGGUAACCAAUUGUUUUGUAUAAUCUCAUUUGCAAAAUGACAUUUUAAGCUUUCUUUAUGCACUUUUAAUUCACAUUAGUUUUUCUUUUUUUUUUCACAAUAUGUGUGUUUACCAGUUGUUGAUAUCUGUUGUAUGCAUUGUUAAGUAGCAUUGUUCAUAUUUCAGGUUUUACUUAGUCAAUGCCAUUGCUUUCGGGCCUUACUGCUCCUUGGAAGGUUCCUUGAUAUGGGGCCAUGGGCGGUCGAUCUGGUAAUUUUUUCUCUAGAUUCAUCAACUUUUGGUGUAAUUGGUUUACCUAUUUAUUUAUUUUUAAUAAAUGAUUUAUUGUAUGAUAACUUUGUUGAAAUGGUGAUUAUUAUUUUACCGUACAUCUUUCAUAAGGCUGCUGCUUUUUGUGUGUAUGUACCUAUCCUAAGGAUUGAGUGUUAUAGGCUAUAGCUUUCCUUGUAUUGUACUCUUCUCCUUUUCCAUAUAUAUGAAAUACAUAUGAGAACAUAACACACUGAUCGUUUAUCACCUCUAAAUUCAAAUUGGUACACAAUCCUUUUUUUCUUCGGUCGUCACAGGACGAUAAAGGAGAGUGGCAAAUUGCAAGCCUUCAAAAAGUCCUAUGGACCAAAAUGAAAAGCUAAUGGUGGACUAAGGUGAAAUUUUUUCAGAUCUACAUAGAUAUAGGAGGCUGGUGGACAAAUUCAUUUUUCUCACCAUUGUAAGACUUGAUAUAUCUCAUGCAACCGGAGUUGUUGGUCAAUUCAUGUAGAAUUUUCACAACCACGAGAAUGUUGUAAUUCUAACCCUCGUAUAUAUAUCAAAAAGGUUCCAAGACAAGGAUUGUUAUAUGAGGACAAGGGAAUUAUUCAACUUAUAGGGGUAUUGUGAUGUAGAUUGGUUUGACUGUCCCAUUGACAAAAUGUUGUUGCCUGGUCCAGUGUAGAAACUAAAUAUAGAUUUAUGACUUGGCCACUUGUGAACUUGUGUUUAGCAACUUCUUGAAGAGUUGAAAUUUUGUAAAGUUGAGCUGAUACAAUUGUAUUGUGAUAAUCAGGUAGCCUUUCAUAUUACCUCCAAUCCAGUGUUUCAUGAGAGAAUCAAACACAAAGAUCAAUUGUUAUUUUGUCAGGAAGGAGAUGUUGUCCAAGGAACUUAAUACUGGAUUUAUCAGCUCUAACUACCAGCUUGUUGACAUUCUAACCAAGUCUUUGAGAGGGCCUAAAUUUUGGUUUAUAUAUUCCAAGCUUGGUGCAUACAAUUUAUAUGCUCUAGCUUGAGGGGAGUGUUGAAAUUGUGAUUAUUAUUUUAUUGUACAGCUUUCACAGGAUGCUUUCUUGGGUGUAUGUACUUAUCCCAAGGAUGUUGUAGGCUAUAACUACGCCUUGUAUUGUACUAUUCUCCUUUUCUAUACAUGUUUAUGAAAUACAUCAGCUGAGAAGAUAACUUUCUAUUUUUAUCACCUCUAAAUUGAAGUAACUUGAUACCAAAUUUUUGAUACGUAGGCAUUAUCUGUUGGAAUAUUUCCUUAUGUUCUAAAGCUGUUGCAAACACCACCACCAGAGCUACGUCAGAUCCUUGUAUUCAUAUGGACAAAGAUUCUUGCACUUGACAAGGUAGAUUUGGAGAAAAAUAAUUUUUUUCUCUAAGUAAUUGUCAAUUACACAUGUUUGGUUUGGUUUAUUUUAGAGAAAUAAUUGUUUAUUUUUGUUGGGUUCUUAAGAGAACUUUUGAAUUUUUUUUUUCAAAAUUAAUCUUGACCAAACAUUUAUUAAAUAAUGUUGAAAAUUUGUCUUGGUCGGUGAAGGUUGCUUUUACUGUAGUAGUUAUUGCAGUACACUUGCUUUGCAUGGUGCUGGACAAGCCAAUAAAAGUAGAAGGGAAAAUAACAAAAAAACAUUUACCCUUUGUUUUGAUGAGAUGAGAGGAAAGAAAAUAAGGGAGAAUGGAAAAUUUUUAAAUUUUAAAUUAAGGGAAAAGUUUGAAAGAUUUUUAAUUUUGAAGUUCUUUUGCAUGAAUUUUCUUCCCUCCCUCUGAUCCCUAUUUGUAUCUUCUAUCAAACAAUAUUUUUUUUUUCAAAUUUAAGUACCCAUCUUCCCUUCCUUUUUUUUUCUUUCACUCCAUCCAAACAUAUGUAUGACCAAUAUGCUAUUCAUCAAUCAUCCUAUAUCCUACUAAAAAGUUACUAAUAAAAUCCUUAUUUAAAAACAUGAAAACUACAAAAUCAAAUCCUAAACUCAAUUAACAUAGGUGUGAAUAUUACGUAACAUUUUAUUUUUUGCUCUUACUUAUAGGACCUUUAUAAUUUUAUACCGAAAUUUGGUCUUGAACUCUGCAUGUUGAAUGUCUGCUGUGUCUGGCAUUAAUUCUGUUCCAUGUCUGGCUUGUAGUCAUGUCGGGUUGAUCUAGUGAAGGAUGGUGGUCAUAUCUAUUUCAUUAAGUUCCUUGACAGUAUGGAAGCAUAUCCAGAGCAACGUGCAAUGGCUGCUUUUGUUUUGGCUGUGAUUGUGGAUGGUCAUAGACAGGGCCAAGAAGCUUGUAUGGAAGCUGGUUUGCUUCAUGUCAGCUUAAAGCACCUUCAGAGUUCAUGUUCUAAUGAUUCACAAACUGAACCCCUUUUCCUUCAGUGGCUUUGCCUGUGUCUGGGGAAAUUGUGGGAAGACUUCUCAGAGGCACAAACAAUUGGUUUACAGGAAGAUGCAACUACUAUAUUUGCUCCUCUACUGUCUGAACCCCAGCCAGAGGUUUAUGUCCUACUUAUUAGUUCUAUUUCCAGUUGCCAGAUGAUUAUAAUUUUUGGUGUAUUAAUCAAAUGGAUUUAAUCAUACAAUUUAUUGUUUUACAGGUUAGGGCAUCUGCUGUUUUUGCACUGAGUACCCUCCUCAGUGUGGGAUUUGGUACAUGUAGAAGUGUUCAUAGAGAUGAAGAAUGUGAUGAUGCUGAAAAGUUUAGGGCUGAAGUUAGUGUAGUUAAGAGUAUCUUAUGUGUUGCUUCUGAUGGGAGUCCAUUGGUAAGGGCAGAGGUAGCUGUAGGUAGGUUAUAAGCAUCCGGUUAUUAUUUUUUAAUUGAUAUCAUCACUGCAAAUUCUUAAUCUUCAGCAAACAAAGUUGCUAAUGGAUGGUUGUUUCUGAACAUAGAGAAAGAUGAAAAACUUUUAAAUAAAAUGAUUGUUAUUAGUGAGUAAGAAAGAAAACUUCUGCACAAUAAGUUAUCAAACUUGCAUCUAAAAAACUUCAUUUUUUUUUCGUUUCUAAUUGUUGUCUCUAAUUUGGUUGUAAUGACUGUUAAUUGGUUAGUCUAAGACAACUUGUUGUUAUCAAUAUAGUAUGGGAAGGCUGGUAUACUUUAGAGAUGGAUCUGUGACAUGUUGCUGACUUUUUUCUUUCCAACUGCCAGCUCUAGCGCGAUUUGCUUUGGGACACAACAAGCACCUGAAAUCUAUUGCUGCUGCAUAUUCUCAAUCUAAUUCUUUGAUUAAUUCCUUACCUUCGUUGGCUAAUAUAAAAGGUUCAGUUGGUGGAUAUCCUAAACAGAACCAACAUAUACCUCAUGGAAGUAUUGUUUCUCCUGAAAUCGGUCCUAUGAGCGUUGGAAAUGACUAUUCUCUAGUGGCUCUAGAUGGUCGGGUCUCUUCUAGCAGUCCUCUUGCUGGUUUGAGUAUCAUGCAUGCGUACCCAUUGUCUUAUGAUUAUUCAUCUCAUCACUCUGAUUCAGGAAUUCUGAGUGAUGGUUUCAGCAAUGGAUUAGUUAACCACACUAGACUAAACCCCUUGGAGAAUGCAUUGUAUUCACAUUGUGUACUUGCUAUGUAUACUUUAGCGAAAGAUCCUUCUCCUCGUGUAGCAAAUCUUGGUUGUCGGGUACUGUCCAUCAUAGGUAUUGAACAAGUGGUUGUAAAGCCGUUGAAGUCUGGUGGUGUUCGAACUGCUGAAUCUACAGCUUCUCCUACUUUUGCUGGACUAGCUCGUUCGUCUUCUUGGUUUGAUAUGAAAGGAGGUAGAUCUUCCUUUCCAUUUUUCUUAAUGAUUAAUCCUGUGUAUGGUUUUUCCCUUAACAUCAAUUUUAUUUGUGAUAAUUCCUGCUGCUUUGUAGCAAGGCUUUCUGCUUAUUAUUGCUUGUUGCUCUGGCAGGACAUUUGCCACUGACCUUCAGAACUCCUCCAGUCAGUCCUCCUCUACCUAGUUGUAUAACUGAAAUGCGUAGGGUCUGUUCAUUGGAGAUUAGGCCCCACCUGAUGAAUUCUCCGGACUCUGGAUUAGCUGAUCCACUUUUGGGUUCUGAUGGAUCUUCUGGGACUUCAGAUCGAAGCCUUCUUCCACAAUCA
rnacentral:lncRNA from 1 species